GGGCGAUUAGCUCAGCUGGUAGAGCAUCUCGUUUACACCGAGGGGGUCGGGGGUUCGAGUCCCUCAUCGCCCACCA
rnacentral:tRNA from 1 species